rnacentral:rRNA from 1 species
AACAGAGUUUCUAAUUCGGUACGUACACAUUCAUAUUCAUAACAUGCCGCUUUGACGCUUACCGAGUAAUUUUGUCAAUAACAAAUAAACUAUUAGCUUUCAAUGUACCUAUUGGCACUGUUUAAUGUCAAUUAUGUACGUUGUUCUGGUGCGUUCACCAACAUUAAUAAUCAUAAUUUGGUUAAGGAAGCCCUUACACUACUUAGUAUCAUUAGCUUGCUUAGCGUCUAAAGACGCUAUUUAGUAAGUUCAAAGACGGGAUAGUCGAAACCUACCAUCACAUAACCUGAUGGUACCGUUAGUGCCCAUUGCCUCUUAAUCCCAAGCUAAGGCCUCUCCCUCGGACUCUUUGCCGAUGGUGUAGAUGCCUUCCGUCGUCCGCGCUUUUAACGGGUUAGGACUAAGUCCCUCCGUCACUGUUCUUUAUUGUUGAGAGCUGAUACAACUCUUCACAUUACGUCCUAUUAAAUGUUU